rnacentral:lncRNA from 1 species
ACAUUGAAAUGAAUCGAAACAGGGAAGGAAAAAUUGGUCAACUAUCCAUUGUGCUAGAUGCCAAUACUAUAAUCGUGAAAGAUGGCCGAGUGUUUGUCAACCAAAAAUAAUUGUUAUACUUAAAAAUCACAGCACCUGUGGACUUUGUGGAGACAGCCAUGGCAGCACAGGCAAAGACAUCACAAACCUUAUUAAAGACAGCAAAAUCCCAGAUACAACUUGUCCCGAUCCUGUUAUUGAACAGACUCUGAAAUGUGAUGAUGGGAAAGUGGUAAGAACAAACUGUGCCUUCUUUAUAGUUUGACCACAAAAUAAGGUGAAUGUUUAUAUAAAACAAUUGAAUGGAUGCCACAAAUGUCUCCUUCUCUGUACAUACACACAUGAUUCAUAUGUUUCUUUUCUAUACCUUUGCUGCAUAAGAAACACACUUCUUGUGGCCCGAAAAACCCACAACAACCAAACACUCUUCUUGUCUGACUUCUAUGCUAUAUAUAGAUAAUCUAGGGAGUUUAAGAUAAGCCAGAAUGCUGUGGUGUGUUCUCCACAUCAUCACUGGGGUCCUUACAUUGGCCUGGAAGGGUUAUCUGUAGGAUCCAGCUAUUCAUGCAGAGCUGGUCCAGGGCCAUUUGCUGCCUGAAGUGAAGGACACUUCUUUUUCCAUGUAUAAAACCCAUCUGGAUUGCCAGUUGAAUCUUUCUUCAACACCGACAGUGAGCAGUGUCUUCCACAA